AUUGAACGCUGGCGGCAUGCUUUACACAUGCAAGUCGAACGGUAACAGGGUGCUUGCACCGCUGACGAGUGGCGAACGGGUGAGUAAUGCGUCGGAACGUGCCGAGUAGUGGGGGAUAACGCAUCGAAAGGUGUGCUAAUACCGCAUACGUACUGAGGUAGAAAGUGGGGGACCUUCGGGCCUCACGCUAUUCGAGCGGCCGACGUCUGAUUAGCUAGUUGGUGAGGUAAAGGCUCACCAAGGCGACGAUCAGUAGCGGGUCUGAGAGGAUGAGCCGCCAGACUGGGACUGAGACACGGCCCAGACUCGUACGGGAGGCAGGAGGGGGGAAUUUUGGACAAUGGGCGCAAGCCUGAUCCAGCCAUGCCGCGUGUCUGAAGAAGGCCUUCGGGUUGUAAAGGACUUUUGUCCGGGAGCAAAUACCCAGUGCUAAUAACGCUGGGGGCUGAGAGUACCGGAAGAAUAAGCACCGGCUAACUACGUGCCAGCAGCCGCGGUAACAC
rnacentral:rRNA from 1 species